rnacentral:sRNA from 1 species
AGGAGGCGGAAGCGCAGCGGGGGCGGGAAGGUUGUAGUGCAGCGAGUUGAGCUCUUCUUGCCUAAGUGGUCGCGCCCCCUUUAAGAGCAGCGAUUGUAAGGAGAGGCAGUCCCGGUGUCCUCGGGUCCCAGGUGAUUGUGAAGUGCUGACCAAUUGCCACUGGACAUACUUGAAACAAAAUAGGAAAAUGGCAGCAAACUCUUCAGGACAAGGUUUUCAAAACAAAAAUAGAGUUGCAAUCUUGGCAGAACUGGACAAAGAGAAAAGAAAACUACUUAUGCAGAACCAGUCUUCAACAAAUCAUCCUGGAGCUAGGUAUUGACACUAUAAUGUGGGUUUUUUGUUUGUUUUGUUUUGUUUUGUUUUGUUUUGUUUUGUUUUGAGACGGAGUCUCGCCCUGUCCCCCAGGCUGGAGUGCAAUG